CAACGUAGGUAACCUGCCCUGGAGCGGGGGAUAACAUUUGGAAACAGAUGCUAAUACCGCAUAACAACAAAAGCCACAUGGCUUUUGUUUGAAAGAUGGCUUUGGCUAUCACUCUGGGAUGGACCUGCGGUGCAUUAGCUAGUUGGUAAGGUAACGGCUUACCAAGGCGAUGAUGCAUAGCCGAGUUGAGAGACUGAUCGGCCACAAUGGAACUGAGACACGGUCCAUACUCCUACGGGAGGCAGCAG
rnacentral:rRNA from 1 species